rnacentral:rRNA from 1 species
GCUGGCGGCAGGCCUAACACAUGCAAGUCGAGCGCGUGUAGCAAUACACGAGCGGCAGACGGGAGAGUAACACGUGGCAACGUACCCUUCGGUUCGGAAUAACCCAGGGAAACUUGGAUUAAUACCGGAUACGUCCGUAAGGAGAAAGAUUCAUCGCCGAAGGAUCGGCCCGCGUCUGAUUAGCUAGUUGGUGAGGUAACGGCUCACCAAGGCGACGAUCAGUAGCUGGUCUGAGAGGAUGAUCAGCCUCACUGGGACUGAGACACGGCCCAGACUCCUACGGGAGGCAGCAGUGGGGAAUAUUGGACAAUGGGCGCAAGCCUGAUCCAGCCAUGCCGCGUGGGUGAUGAAGGCCCUAGGGUUGUAAAGCCCUUUCGGCGGGGAAGAUAAUGACGGUACCCGCAGAAGAAGCCCCGGCUAACUUCGUGCCAGCAGCCGCGGUAAUACGAAGGGGGCUAGCGUUGCUCGGAAUCACUGGGCGUAAAGCGCACGUAGGCGGGUCGUUAAGUCG